UUCUUCUUCUUCUUCUUCUCUUCUUUUCUUCUUCUUUUCUUCUUCUCCUUCUUAUUUUUGUCUUCUCCUCCUCCUCCUCUUCUUCUUCUUCUUCUUCUUCUUCUUCUUCUUCUUCUUCUUCUUCUUCUUCUCCUCCUCCUCCUCCUCCUCCUCUUCUCCUCUUCUCCUCCUCCUCCUCUUCUUCUUCUUCCUAUUAUUUCUAUUAAGCUAACUAACUAACUAACCUAACUAACCAAGCUAGCUAAACCUAUCGCUAAACCUAGAUAGCACUAAACAGCAAAAAAAAAAGAAUCUAGCUACCACUAAUUAACAAAACAAAAUCUACCACUAAACUACCUACUAAAUCUACUAAUUAACUAACUAUAUCUACC
rnacentral:lncRNA from 1 species